UAGUGGAGGGAGUCUCUUUCAACGACACAUGAUGUCCAUUUGUGUCCCCAUUAAUUCAACUCCAACUGAAACUAAAAUCCAAUUGAAAAUAACAAAAUGCGCUACGCGUUUUCCCCCUCCCCAAAUUUCACUUCCCUCCUCCCCCAAUUUUCGACUUCCCUCUUCAAUUGAAACCCACCAUAAAAGAAAUGUUGUUGUUUCAUUCCCUCUAUUUCCGUUUUUCAGUUGUAAUAGAAAGAAAAAAACAAACUCGAGCUAAAAACACAAUCGAUCUGAUUCGACUUGGCGGAGAAGGCGGCAACUUGUAACAAUCAUCGGAUUUGAGAGAUUCUGAGUUCAGAUCGUAGUAAGAUAGAAGGUUGAGGAGUCAAUAACUCUAAAAUCAGAGCUUUAGAAGAUGCGGACUUUUAGGUAUUGUUAUCUCCCUAAUUUUCAAUGGUUGGGUACUCAGAUUUAUGGGUUUAUGGUUGGGGAUUACAUUGUUUAUUUUCAUUUCAUGGAUACUCUCGGUUUGAAGAGUAAUUGCUUCUUUGAAUCCUCUUGUGGCUGGAGGAUAGAUAUGGGUCUCGAACUAACCAGUCACAUACAAGCCAAAGUUCAUUAGUUCCUUGAAGGACAAUUUAAAUGCAGAGGUGGCACCUGGAACUGUCACUGAUGUCAAGAAAGCUUGUGCAUGGCUUGGAUAUAUAGACCUUUUUAUAAGGAUGAGGCUCAACCCUUUGGCAUACGGUAUCGCAUGGGAGGAGGUACUGUGUGUUGAUUACACUUAACCUAUAUAGUUGACCAGUUGACCAUCGUUGAAUGUUGAUGGCUUUUCUCCAAACUACAUUAUGCUUAGUUCACUUGAAUUUAGGUGCUUAUACAGGAAAAUUUUCUUUUGCAUUUUGCAUGUUAUGGCAGAUCCUUCCUUGAGUUUAAAGCAGAGAUCUCUGUAGCAGAUGCUGCGUGUGCCCUUGACAAAGCAAAAAUGAUGCGGUUUGACGAGAAAAGUGGCAAUUUUUAUUGUAUAGAGCUUGGUCGCAUAGCAAGCCACUUUUAUAUUCAAUACUCUAGUGUUGAAACCUACAAUGAAAUGUUGAAGCCUCACAUGAAUGAGACUGAGGUAAUUGUUUUCUUUAAUAAACUUGUAUUGGAUUUGUGUGUGUUCAACAUUACCAUCACCCAAUUUUUUUCAACAAAAGUAUCUUUCCAAGUAAAUAAUAUAUCCCCUAGAGAUGCUGUUUGUUGUGGACUGAUCAUGCGCUUGUUAAAAGAAUGAGCUGGAAACUCGUAGUGUUUGUUAGUUGCGGGAACCCACUAGAGCCUUUAAAAGCGUGUCUUCAUAGGAAAACUGUAUGGGUGAUCCAUCCAUGACUAGUAAUAUUACUGUCUUAUGAUGUUUGAUAUCAUUGUACUCUUCUUGCUGGUCCUCCAUUUAAUAAGCCUACUGUC